rnacentral:rRNA from 1 species
AAAAAUUAUUUUAUGUUUUAGUAUUUAAAUUAAAAAAAAUAAUUUAAAUUUUUAUUAUUUAAAAUGUUUCUUAUUAAAUAAAUAUUAAAUAACUUUUUUACCUUUGGUAUCAGGGAUAAUCAAUAAAAAUAAUUAAUUUUUAUUCUCGAAAAAAAUAGAAAUAAGUAUAAAAUUUAAAAAUUUUUGUUAUAAAAAAAUUUACAAUUUAUAUUUAGAGAUUAAAUGUUAACAAUAUUUUUUUAUCUAGUUAAUUCAUAAUUUAAUUAAAUUAAUUUUACACUUAUUAAAUUUAAACAAUAAAUUAACAAUUAGUGUAAAAAUAAAUUAUUUUGGUUAACCAAAAUAAUUUAAUAAAAUUUUUCAUCUUUUUUAUAAAAUAAUAAAUAUACAUUGUUUUAAUUUUUAUUUUAAUUUUUAAAAAUGAAUUGAUUUAAAUAAUAAAAAAAAUAAAAAAAUAAUGAUUAUAUAAGUAAUUAAUUUAUCUUUUUAAAAAGAAUUAAGCAAAAAUUUUAAUCAAAUGUUUAACAAAAACAUCUCUUACUUUUUAUUUAGUAAGUAAAACCUGCCCAGUGAAAUUUAAACGGUUAUAUAAUAAUACUAAGGUAAUAUAAUAAGUUGUCAUUUAAUUUGUGAAUAUAAUGAAGGUUUAAUGAAUUAAAAACUGUUUUUUAAAAAAAAAAUUAAAUUAAUAAUUAAGUGAAAAAUCUUAAAUAAUUUUAAAAGACGAUAAGACCCUAUAGAACUUAUUUAAAAUUUUAAAUUUACUGGGGAAGUAAAAAUAUAAAAAAAACUAUUUUUAGCUAUAAAUUAUUUAAAAAUUAUAACCAUUAAUUUUUGUAUAAAAAGUUACCUUAGGGAUAACAGCAUUAAUAAUAUGAAAAGUUCUUAUUUAAAUAUUCUUUAAUGACCUCGAUGUUGAAUUAAAAUAAAUUAAUAAAGUAAAAAUUAAAUUAUAUUAGGUCUGUUCGACCUUUAAUAUUUUACAUGAUUUGAGUUCAAACCGACGUAAGUUAGGUUGGUUUCUAUCUUUAAAUUAAAAAUCUUUAUUAGUACGAAAGGACCAUAAAGU